ensembl:lncRNA
AAAGAAAGACCUAACUUGUAGGUUAAAACUACGUGUGUAAAACAAUCUAACUUGAUAUAUGCUCGCGUUCUUAAAAGCAUACACAUUUAUUUAUAUAUCAAUAUAUAAAGCAGUAAACUCAUUACCUGUAGAAUAUUAUUCUACUGGGUUACAUGCUCCCCCUACUAAAUAUCUCAUGUCCCCAUGAGAUUACUUUUUACACUUUAAAAGUGACUUUAGGCUCAGUAUAAGCAUUUACUUGAGCACAAUAUUUACACUGUGCCAUAGGGUGACACCACAGGGUGUUACAGGGUUUCAUUUCUGCCUCUUUCCCACCCUCUACAUGUAUCACCAUACCUCUAUGGACCAGUGUCAAAGGUCGGUUAGUGGGCCGGCCUAGGCUAUCAUAGCUCAGUCUGACAACUGGUCUUAUGUUUCUUUUGGGGCGGGAAUGAACAGUCUCUAAUGCUUCUUUAGCAUUAGCUAUGCCAGGCUCUCCCCAUUCUAAACCAGGAUCUCCCAUUUCCUCAAGAAUCUGAUCUGAGAGUUUUUCAUAGCUUUCUUCAGUGAACAUUGGCUCUGCCAUUUCUGCAAGAGAUCUAUCCAGUUCACCUCCAGGGUAAGCAGUUUCCUCCUCCACUGCAUUUUCUUCCAGUGCAACAUGCGGUGUCUCAACCCUGUCCGGGCAGUAAUACCACAGGUUAUCCUCUUCACUUUCAGAGUCAGAGUCAUUCCUCACAGCUGCAUUUCUUUCUCUUAAUCCUCUUCUCUGUUUUCUUUCCACAGAUCUUGUCCUUGUCUCCGGUGGUGCAGAAACUUUCUUUGGUUCCCCAGUAUCAGCCAACCUCACAUGGUCUCCAACAGGAACUCAGAUGUGACUUGCCAGAGGGAGAUCCCGGACGAGCCCCCCACUUUGUGUAGCGCCCCCUACCUGUCUUUAUGUUGAUUAAAUAGGGCAGCGCACCAGAUUCAUUAACUAUGUGCCUACAGAUGUUGAAGUUAGGCCCCUCUGGUGUCACAAAUUAUUUACUUCUCCUUUAGAAGUUAUUAAUAAUUAUGUACUAUACUCAAAUGUAAUAUAUAUAAUAUAUUAUCUAUAUACUAUAAUAAAUAGUCAAGCACAAACUCUUAGAUAAGUAACAAAAUAUAAAGAAUUUAAUUAGAACAGAAGCAGAAAGUCAAAGAUAGAAUUUGAAUGCUGUGAUGUAUUCACACAAUCACAUAGACUUUAGAUCUGACCAAAUUAACCCCCCAAAAAAAGCUAUAUCUCAGGGGACAGGAGUACAGGAAUGGUCUCUGUAACAAAACACUCAGAAUUAAAGGAACGAGUGACUUCACUUGAAAUGAAAUGUACAAACUUAUUCACUCUGGAUGUCAGAAAUCACUUGGAAUAUUCACAGUUAAUAAGCACGCUGAAUAAACACAAUAUGAAAGAAAAUUAAACUUUGUGGGCCCACAUACACAAACAUAAACAUACACACACACCGUUGCAGGCCUGGAUCGUAGCUUGUGUUCGUGGUGGCGGGAAACUGACAAAUGGCCCCUUCACUCUCCUGAGCACAAACAAAAUCAACACUGGUACCUCAAUUUGAUGUGUGAAGCAAACCGCGAUCCUGGACUCCUGUAUUAGGCCUCCCGCAGCUCCUCGGUCUUGCUCUCUCGCCCGCCGAGGAAACGCUCCUCCCACGCAGCCAGAGGAACCCCAAAUAUCGCGGGUAUUUGGGGCGCUAUCUGGUCCUCAAUUUCCCCUGCGUCGUGCAGGAAACAACACUGCUUCACGGAUCAAUCGGUUCUGUGUAAAUGUUCCGCUAAUUUAACAGUCCGGUUCAGAUGAAUGACGUGUAACUGUUACUGGAUAUUAACGAACAGUCCGUGCGCGUGACUGACGAUUAAAGAUAACGGAAUGUCGUAUAAACACUCACAGCGAACU